CGGAAUUCGUCGGCCGUUCGUGCGUUAGUAUAGUAUUCCAGAAUAUGUUUUCGAACGCAGAAAAUUCGCGUGCCAAGGGACCGUUAUAUUACUGUUCGAUCUAAAUCCCAUAGUCUACGGACUUUGCCGAUCGUCGCCGGGAACAUCGGGGUUUUCGCCCGCAUCCCUGCGACAGAUGUAUACGAUCGGUCAGCGUUCCCGGCGCCAAGAGUGCGGAUUUCAUCGGAUGCUACACACAACGGUCGCGCAGGGACGAGAGGAUGGAACCCGGAGCUAUUAUAUUGUAGUUUUAAAACGACGCCCCUGCAGCUGCUUAUACAGUAUUUGUUUUCACCACUUUUGCGAAUAACGUUUUGUGA